AAGACUAUAGACCUGCGGAGUACCUGCGGAAGGAUCAUUAUAGAGUGGUAAACCCCCCGUAAAAGGGGGGGACCUCCUGUCCUUUGUAGGCUCUUUUUUAAAAGGGCUUUUUUUAAUUUUCUGCUUCGGUGGGGUUAUCCCACCGGAACAACCUCAAAACUCUUAUCAAAAAAUCGUUCUGUCUGAGAACCUUUUAUAAUAAAAAAAAACUUUCAGCAAUGGAUCUCUAGAUCGGAAGAG
rnacentral:misc_RNA from 1 species